rnacentral:rRNA from 1 species
GCUGCGCUAAUACCGCAUACGAUCUAUGGAUGAAAGCGGGGGACCAUAAGGCCUCGCGCGAUUGGAGCGGCCGAUGUCAGAUUAGGUAGUUGGUGGGGUAAAGGCUCACCAAGCCAACGAUCUGUAGCUGGUCUGAGAGGACGACCAGCCACACUGGGACUGAGACACGGCCCAGACUCCUACGGGAGGCAGCAGUGGGGAAUUUUGGACAAUGGGCGCAAGCCUGAUCCAGCAAUGCCGCGUGCAGGAAGAAGGCCUUCGGGUUGUAAACUGCUUUUGUACGGAACGAAACGGUCUGGGUUAAUACCUCGGGCUAAUGACGGUACCGUAAGAAUAAGCACCGGCUAACUACGUGCCAGCAGCCGCGGUAAUACGUAGGGUGCAAGCGUUAAUCGGAAUUACUGGGCGUAAAGCGUGCGCAGGCGGUUUUGUAAGACAGGCGUGAAAUCCCCGGGCUCAACCUGGGAAUGGCGCUUGUGACUGCAAGGCUGGAGUGCGGCAGAGGGGGGAUGGAAUUCCGCGUGUAGCAGUGAAAUGCGUAGAUAUGCGGAGGAACACCGAUGGCGAAGGCAAUCCCCUGGGCCUGCACUGACGCUCAUGCACGAAAGCGUGGGGAGCAA